rnacentral:rRNA from 1 species
GACGAACGCUGGCGGCGUGCUUAACACAUGCAAGUCGAACGGAAAGGCCCUGCUUUUGUGGGGUGCUCGAGUGGCGAACGGGUGAGUAACACGUGAGUAACCUGCCCUUGACUUUGGGAUAACUUCAGGAAACUGGGGCUAAUACCGGAUAGGAGCUCCUGCUGCAUGGUGGGGGUUGGAAAGUUUCGGCGGUUGGGGAUGGACUCGCGGCUUAUCAGCUUGUUGGUGGGGUAGUGGCUUACCAAGGCUUUGACGGGUAGCCGGCCUGAGAGGGGGACCGGCCACAUUGGGACUGAGAUACGGCCCAGACGCCUACGGGAGGCAGCAGUGGGGAAUAUUGCGCAAUGGGCGGAAGCCUGAUGCAGCAACGCCGCGUGCGGGAUGACGGCCUUCGGGUUGUAAACCGCUUUCGCCUGUGACGAAGCGUGAGUGACGGUAAUGGGUAAGGAAGCACCGGCUAACUACGUG